rnacentral:lncRNA from 1 species
ACCAAUCUCCUCCUCGGUUCAAAUGUAACCAAUUUGUUCCAUGAUAUACCCGAUGAAUUUCACCGAAUUAUAUCUUAUCAUCCACAUGUGUACAACGAUAUACAUUUUACACACAUCCACAUAAAUACAUGCAUAAAAUCAAAGAUUAAUUCGAAGCAAAUUCUGCAGCACAUGGAAUAAUUCCUUGAAACAGAAUUCAACAUGCAUAAUAUUACAUCACUCUCACACAAGCUCUUCACAAAGUUUUUUGUGG